rnacentral:rRNA from 1 species
UACGUAGGGUGCGAGCGUUGUCCGGAAUUAUUGGGCGUAAAGGGCUCGUAGGCGGUUUGUCGCGUCGGGAGUGAAAACCCAGGGCUUAACUCUGGGCUGGCUUUCGAUACGGGCAGACUAGAGGCAUGCAGGGGAGAACGGAAUUCCUGGUGUAGCGGUGAAAUGCGCAGAUAUCAGGAGGAACACCGGUGGCGAAGGCGGUUCUCUGGGCAUGUCCUGACGCUGAGGAGCGAA